rnacentral:misc_RNA from 1 species
GAUGAAGAACGCAGUGAAAUGCGAUAAGUAAUGUGAAUUGCAGAAUUCAGUGAAUCAUCGAGUCUUUGAACGCACAUUGCGCCCCCUGGUAUUCCGGGGGGCAUGCCUGUCCGAGCGUCAUUGCUGCCCUCAAGCACGGCUUGUGUGUUGGGCCUCCGUCCUCCUCCCGGGGGACGGGCCCGAAAGGCAGCGGCGGCACCGCGUCCGGUCCUCGAGCGUAUGGGGCUUCGUCACCCGCUCUUGUAGGCCCGGCCGGCGCUUGCCGACACAUCAAUCUUUUUUCCAGGUUGACCUCGGAUCAGGUAGGGAUACCCGCUGAACUUAAGCAUAUCAUAAGCGGAGGA